UCGUCCCCUCCCGGGGGGCGCCGGGCUGCACCGGGUCAGGCCCCCGGGCCGCGGGCGGAUUUGGGCUGCGGCUUCGAGGGGGGGAGGGGCGGCGCUGGGAGGGGGGCCACCAGGCCCCGCCCCCCCGGCAGCCCACCUCGGCCCCGGGCGCCGCCCCCAUUUCCCGGCUCUGGGCUGUGGGCCUUUGUCUCGGCGGGGCCCGCGGCGCCCCCUGCUGGCAGGUCUGGGCCGCGCCUACUCGGCCUGCUCCGGAGCCGGCUCCGGUUUCUUGGGAGGCCGCGGCCACGCGGACCGAGGUGGUCCCGCCUUCCUCAGUGCAGCCGGGAUGCUUCGUGCAAGUGCCCGCAGCCUUGCAGCGCCCGCAGCUCCCCGCGGACCCAGAGGCGGACAGACGGGAGGAGAGGCUGGGCCGGGAGAACCCCGUUUCCCCCCGCUUUUUCAGCAGGGCAGAAAGUUCUGUGUUUGUGCCCUCAACGGCUUUAGAAAAUGGCCUCAUCUAACCUUUCCAAAGAUGUUAUCCAAGCUGCAAAGUCUUGGCCAUUGGAAGACCUUUUAAGUCCCGAUACCAAAGAGCUUUAGUCUGGAUUAAAUGCAAAAUGCCAAAAUUUCACUUUUAAAAGCAAGCACAAGGACUAAGUGCAACCUGAGCGUGUUUGUAAACCGUGCAAAACAGGCACUUCUGAGAGCCCCCCCCCCCUGCCCAUUUUGUGCAAAUGCUAUUUGCCCGGAGCAUCAGGAACCGAAACUCCUGGGAACUCUCUUUUUCUGGCCAGCAACGGGAAAGUUUGGGCUCACAGAGGGGAUUUUUAAAUCUCUGAAGGACUUAAGUCAGUGUGUGUCAUGGAAAAGCCGAGUCCCUCCCAGCUCAAGGUGGCCCCAAGAGGUGGGCCAGGGCCCCCCCCCCCCUGCAUCCCGCUGCCAGUGGCCAGCACACCUUAGGUGCUCCAUGAUGAAACAAGGAUUCUGCCGAAGAGAUCCACUGCAAAGCACCUGGCUUUCUAGAAGCAAUAAAUGAAAGUCUCUUACAGUAAAAAGAAAAAAAAAAAGAUUGAUGAAGUCGUGAGGGAGAGGCAGAGAACACAGUAUAAUCCAGCCAUUGGAGACUGGCUUCUGAAACUCCAGCAGGAGAUGCUUUAUCCCUUCCUGGCAGCUCUGCAGUGGCCAGCAAAUAAAUAUUUCCACAUGGAAGGCAAUGGUCCUUCAAAACGUAGCUUGUUCCAUUCAAGAGAGAUACAGCAAGGUCCCCAGCUUUAGUGGCAAAGGGCAUUAGCCUUGCCUUUAGGAUUCGUGGAUGUAAACACUGAAUCCCACUCCCACCCCCCUUGAUGCUUCAGGAAACAAUGGAGGGACCUCCGUGGACAAAUUACGCCUGCAUUUAAUGCUCUGAUUAUCUGAAGAACAAAGUCCAGCAGUAAUCUUGAGAAGAAGAAUUCACAUUUAAAGUUCGGAAAGUGACAGAACAAAGAGUGAAGAGAAGCCCACAUUAAAAUGAGAUGGGAUGAGAAGAAGAAGAAAGAAGGAAAUCCGUGUGAUCCUGGAGGAAGACCCUUUGAAUAGAACCAAGGCGGAGAUUGGAGAAAGGAGCCUCAGCUGUCUGGCCAUAUCCACCAGGAAAGCCUCAACCAUCACAAUUAUCUGGGACACUCAUGAAGGAUGUGCUUCCUCUUGGAGCAGAUGCAGCCAGGAAAGAGGAAGACGUGAGACUGAGGACACAGGGGUCCCACCCGGGACAGAAGUGGAGGGAACUCCCAGGAGGGCUUCACCUGUCGUCAGACCCAGACCACUCUGCCCCUUCACCCGGCCUCUCGUCGCCUCCCCACCUUCCUCCCACCCGACGACGUCACCACCGUUCCGGGGAGGGUAGGGGAAGCAUGGGGUGUGACUCACUGGCCUGGCAGGCGUCACGUGACUCCCAGUGGUGUCUCCUUCCCCAAACCAAGGUAAUGGGAUUGCUCAGCCAGCGGGGAAUUGGGGCAGUUUUCAAGCAGGGAGUAGAAGGCUUGCUCCUCAGGAAGAUGCCCAUCAACCAACCCAGGUGUAUUUGAGGGAGAGACCUGAACGGGAGAGAGGAGCAGGGAGAGGCCGUCCAGAGCCCCUGCCCUCCCGCUGGCCCAGCGGUGAAGAUGGUUCCUUUCCCUACGACUGGCAGACUACACAGACAGUAGCCAGAAGGGGCCGCCUUGCGGCGCCCCAUCCAGAAGGGCUACCUGCUGGGUGAAGAAGGCCUGGCAACAAGAGCCGUGGGGUGUGCGGUCCCAGGCAGGGGGCGCAGGACCGGGAGGGGGCUGGGAUGGCGUGGACUUGCCUCUCUGGGACCUGAGCAGUGGGCCUGCCCCUCCCCCCAGCGCAUCACACUGAAGAAUUCAUACCGUGCCCGGGAGGGACCAGCGUUUAGACACCUGUAGAGCUGACUGUACCCCCAUGUUAUCUGGAAGAACAACACUGCAAACCUGGGUAUUAAAAUGGCUUCUUCAUAAAGUCACAGUCACACCAGAUCAUAAAGACAGGUCUUAGUGAACAGUAGUUACAGAGUAACAAGCUUUAGACGAUUCCACAGCACAGGAGAAAUAAGAAAUCUCAACAGUUUUCAAAUAUAUUAAAUGAAGGGGAAAAUAAAGGAAAACGCCUUCCCCUAAAAUGGAAAGCAAAAGAACAGAAUAUGUAUUUUUCAUGUUUGAGUUCAUUAUUUUUGCUGAAGACUGCUUCUGUGAACAGUCUUGCACAAUCCCCGUGAGAGAUGGAUGGAUGGAAAGGAAAGGUUGCAGAGGAAGAGGAAUAAUGGACCAUUACCCAGCAGAGGGUCGGUUCCCUUAGGCGUCUCUGGGCCACUUUAGGCAUUGGCAGGCGUCACAAUGGGGCAUGAGCCGUCAUGUGAGAGGUUCCAGAGGACAGAAAAAGUCUCCUGAGGUUCCUCGAAAAGAACAGUAUUGCCACCUUUUAAAAGGGGUGGCCUAGGACCUAGUUAUAGACUGUUCAUCUUGGAAUCGGUAUCUGGGAAGUUACUGGAACAAAUCAUUGAGUAAUCCGCUGGCCACCCACCAGGAGGGCAGAAGACACUGGGAAGGAACAACAAAUGUUUCUGGAAGAGCAAAUGUCAUUGGCAAAAUCCAAGGCCCCCCUCCAAGUCUUCAGGGUGCAAAGGGACCCCGGGAGAUGGGCCUGGGGGUCGAGCACUGUGGUGACUAGGGAAUCUGCUAAUGUAAAAAAACUGUCCCAGAGUAUUGUGAGACACACUUGAGUGAGUACUAAUAGUGUAUUUAGACACGAUACCAGUUUCAGCAAAUCUUUCCAAAUGAGAAAGAGAAAUGCCACAUGUAUAUAAUAGGGUAUGAAAUUUAAAGGGCAAAAUCCGGGCAAGGCUGACCCUGGACAGCUUGGGACAAGAAGCUUUAGGGCCACGUGGGGGGCACCAGUUUCCAGACGUGAAACUAUUUGUUUUCUACCCAAAUCCAGAGGGCCCUACAAAUCAAAAUCCAACCAUAGCAACCAAGAGGGGGAAGGCAAGUUGCGGCGCGAAUGUUGGAGAAGAAUUGCCUGGAACACUUUAUUAUCCUCCUUAAUCACAGCGGGGAAAUGGUUCACGUUCUCUGCCAAACAGUGUUUUAAGGGCUUCCAUCUUCUAACUCAAGUGAUCCAGACAGUAACCCUCUGAAGGUGGGACUCUUAUUAUCUCCAUUUUACAGACAGGGAGACUGAGGCUUUGAGAAGUAAAGCAACAUGUCUGAGAUCACACAGCUAAAAAGUUGCCAACAGGAAGACCGUUAUCGGAAACUCAAGAACACAGUGGAAGUUUCUGUUCCUUAAUGUUUCUCAAGCUCGUUCACGUGGACUGUCAACCUAUCCAACGAAGUAUCAUUAAAUAUGACUUUCUGUGCGAGAUCAAAUAGUACAUUUGCUUUUACUCACCUCUGCGUAAAAAAGCAACAGGUAUCAGAGAAAAGUAAAAGGCAUUUUUGUAGGAGAAAGACACAGAAAUGAAAGACAUCCAAACCAUUACCUUCGUGUUUUCCUACACAGGCGACAUCCGCCAGCUCCAAUUUCAGCGGCAGGACAGGCUGCCCCAGAGCCAGGCUUUGUGCCACGGAAGCAGUGAGCCUGAAAGAUCUGAACCUGAGGACGGAGGCGAGCACGGUUCUGCACUCACAUCCUCUCGUGGCGAAGGAGUCGUGGGUCCGCGCGGGCUGCUGGCCGGCAGAAGGCAGAGGCAGAUGACAGAAGCAGCGGGAGGGAGGCCAGGCCCUGCCCCCUGGUCCAGCACGAGGUCCCCCGCGUGCCCUGCGGGGCCACGCUCUGCAUCCACUUGUGCCCAAGUCACUAACCCGGCCGCCCAGCAGCGGCUCCGAGCUCGCGGCCAGCACCGUCCGCGGUCGCCAGCUAAGAGCCCCUGUGCGUGUGCUGCAGCCUGGGAGGGGCUGCCACGGGGGGACAUGCACAGGCGAUCUUCUGAGGCCCGUGGCAGAGACCCCGUCAGGGUAAGAUGUGGCUCCUUUGUGUUUGCCACGCUUUACAAGAAAACUUGAUGGGAAAUGUAGAAGGCACUCACUCACCUUGGUCAGUGUCCACGGGGCUCUUGUCACACAGGGAAGCUUCUGGAACACGCAGAGCAGUUAGUGCUAGAUGGAGACGACGCCUGCCAUCGUCCGCUGUGAAAAUCCCACCGCGUCCGCGCUGCCCGUGGCCGGCCUUCUGUGCUGAGACCGACCCGAUAUUAAACUGUGAAAUCUGAUGCCAGCGUAAGGGAGAGUGUUGAUAAUACCAGCUCCCACUCUGCGAGAGCCUUCAGUUCCAUGCACUGUGCGUUGCUGUGAGUGCUCCAAGCUUACAAGACAGGGAGCGUCGUACUCAUUCACAGAGGAAGCAGUUGGCAUGCAGGAGGCCGGCGGUCUACCCAGAUCACACAGCACCGAAGUCACAGAGCCGGAGUGAAACGUGAAUGUGAUUGCAAAACGCACGUUCAAUCUGGUCCACUCUGCUGCAGAAGGUCUCAGACAGGACAUGCUGAGCUCUGGAAAAUGGGAAUAACCAGGGAAAGAGCAGUUUUUGACAAUGAAAGACAAUGAUAUGAUAAGACAGCGCAGGGGGUUUGCAGUUCAGGACUUGGGUGGGAUGGACACACAUCACCCUGUCCCCGCUCUAAGUACAGCCAGAAUCCCUGCACGUGAUGUGAAACAAACAUGCAAAGACUCUGAAAAGUGAAGAGAACAGGCAGACCUGCCAGGCGCGAGAGUGUGCUCCUAGACCCUGAACUGGAUUCAGGGAACCAGCAGCCCGGGAGCCCCAGUGGGCACAGACCAGAGGCCCCAAGAAGAGUCUGCUGUCUCUGGCCAGAGGGGCGGCCUAGCAGGACAGAGGAUUUUGACUCAAUUACUGCCCUACACCUUCCGAACUCCAUGGAGAAAUCCACGACCAUCACUCCCGCCCCCGACCCCAGCAAAGGCUGAGGGAGCACCUAGGGCCAGAACGUUUACUACCGUCUAGUGGGAAGACAGCUGACACCAGCACAGCCGGGUCGUUGGAGAGGCCCAGGGCAAGGCUGGGUACCACCCUUGCACCCCUUCCUCAGGGAAACUGGUCGUCCCCUGACCCGGCAGCAAGAAUGGCGCCCCUCGCCCUGUUAGUGUGGUAUCAGAGGAAACCUUCCGAAGCAGAAGUCGUCAUAACAGAAUAAUCCAAAUAUCCAGGUUAUAAUAAAAAGGUUACUCAUCAGACCAAGAACCAGGAGAAUCUCAGCCGGAGCGAGAAGAGAUGUUCAGCAGAUACCAACACCAAGAUGACCCAGAUGUUGGUUAUUUGACAAGGAUUUUAAAGCACCCUCAAAAUAAACUGCUUCGACAAACCAUGACAAACACACUUGAAACAAACAACAACAACAAAAGUAGAAACUCUCAGCAAAGAAAUAAAAGACACAAAGAAGAACCAAAUGGAAAUUUUUAUAACUGAAAAAUGCAAUCACUGAAAUGAAAACCUCAGUGGAUGGGCUCAAAAGCAGACUGGAGAGGACAGAGGAAAGAACCGGUGAACUUGAGGAUGGACAGCAGAAAUUUCCCCAUCUGAGGAACAGAGAGAAAACAGACUGGAAAAAAGAACGUGGGCAGAGCCUCAGGGAGCUGUGCACCUAGAACAAAAGAGCGAACAUCCUGUCAUCAGAGUCCCAGGAGGAGGAGAAAGAAGUGGGCCCAGAAAGGCAUUCCAAGAAAUGUGGAUGAAAAGUUCCCCAAUGCAGCAAAAGACAAACACCUACACAUCCAAGAAGCAGAGUGAACCCCCAACAGUAUAAACCCCAAAACUGCCCGACAGGAAGAUCAUACUCCAACUCCAACCCCCUUGCAGGGCUUCCUAUUGCUAAAUGGUAAGAACAUUUUAUUUUUUAUAUCAAAGAAUUAAAUAAUGAUAUAAAAAUUUUCCAUUUAAGAUAGAAUAAUUUUCUAUCAUGUAUCUAAAAGCAUAUUAACUAAGUACAUGUGAUAGUGGACAUAUAAAAAUAUAAAUAUUAUAGACACAUAUCAAUUGGCUUUUAAAUAACAAAAUGCAAGAAUUCCAAAUAGACUAUGUGCUUUUUGCUGUUUUUGAUAUUAUGACAUGAAGAUAUAUGUCCAUCUACAUUUUAGGAUAUGUAAUGAGCUAAAACCAAACCGGAUAUAAUAUCUUAUUUGAAAAUGCAUUUGUCAACAAAUCAUGCUUUUACCACGUAAUUAUUUUAAAAUAAAUUAAAUGGAGAAUAUCACUGUUGCCAUAGGGACAGUUGAAAUGCGUCUUUAUGUAUAAUCAAAAUGAUCAACAUUUGUGUUAAAAUGAACGUUAUAAUGAAAUCUUUAGUGACAUACCAAUCAAAAAAUGCUUUUUUAACUUACUGCUUCUUCAUUAUGUACCAUGCAAAAAUAAUCAUAUGAUUAAAAAGAUUCUCCCAGGGCUCUCGAGAUUAGAUAUUAUUGUAGAAGAAGUUGGCAGGACCAAAAGAGUUGGGAAAUUGUGCAUGUCUGUUUAAUCGUGGGCGCCUUCAUUUUUCCCCAACCACAAAUGUGCUUUCACUUCUUCAUCUCCUUGCUGGGAGGUGGGC